CCCCUAAGGCGAGGCCGAAAGGCGUAGUCGAUGGGAAACGGGUUAAUAUUCCCGUACUUGGUGUUACUGCGAAGGGGGGACGGAGAAGGCUAUGUUGGCCGGGCGACGGUUGUCCCGGUUUAAGCGUGUAGGUGUGUGUUCCAGGUAAAUCCGGUUCACUUUAACACUGAGGCGUGAUGACGAGGCACUACGGUGCUGAAGCAACAAAUGCCCUGCUUCCAGGAAAAGCCUCUAAGCAUCAGGUAACAUCAAAUCGUACCCCAAACCGACACAGGUGGUCAGGUAGAGAAUACCAAGGCGCUUGAGAGAACUCGGGUGAAGGAACUAGGCAAAAUGGUGCCGUAACUUCGGGAGAAGGCACGCUGACACGUAGGUGAAGUGAUUUACUCAUGGAGCUGAAGUCAGUCGAAGAUACCAGCUGGCUGCAACUGUUUAUUAAAAACACAGCACUGUGCAAACACGAAAGUGGACGUAUACGGUGUGACGCCUGCCCGGUGCCGGAAGGUUAAUUGAUGGGGUCAGCGCAAGCGAAGCUCCUGAUCGAAGCCCCGGUAAACGGCGGCCGUAACUAUAACGGUCCUAAGGUAGCGAAAUUCCUUGUCGGGUAAGUUCCGACCUGCACGAAUGGCGUAAUGAUGGCCAGGCUGUCUCCACCCGAGACUCAGUGAAAUUGAACUCGCUGUGAAGAUGCAGUGUACCCGCGGCAAGACGGAAAGACCCCGUGAACCUUUACUAUAGCUUGACACUGAACAUUGAGCCUUGAUGUGUAGGAUAGGUGGGAGGCUUUGAAGUGUGGACGCCAGUCUGCAUGGAGCCGGCCUUGAAAUACCACCCUUUAAUGUUUGAUGUUCUAACGUGGACCCGUGAUCCGGGUUGCGGACAGUGUCUGGUGGGUAGUUUGACUGGGGCGGUCUCCUCCUAAAGAGUAACGGAGGAGCACGAAGGUUGGCUAAUCCUGGUCGGACAUCAGGAGGUUAGUGCAAUGGCAUAAGCCAGCUUGACUGCGAGCGUGACGGCGCGAGCAGGUGCGAAAGCAGGUCAUAGUGAUCCGGUGGUUCUGAAUGGAAGGGCCAUCGCUCAACGGAUAAAAGGUACUCCGGGGAUAACAGGCUGAUACCGCCCAAGAGUUCAUAUCGACGGCGGUGUUUGGCACCUCGAUGUCGGCUCAUCACAUCCUGGGGCUGAAGUAGGUCCCAAGGGUAUGGCUGUUCGCCAUUUAAAGUGGUACGCGAGCUGGGUUUAGAACGUCGUGAGACAGUUCGGUCCCUAUCUGCCGUGGGCGCUGGAGAACUGAGGGGGGCUGCUCCUAGUACGAGAGGACCGGAGUGGACGCAUCACUGGUGUUCGGGUUGUCAUGCCAAUGGCACUGCCCGGUAGCUAAAUGCGGAAGAGAUAAGUGCUGAAAGCAUCUAAGCACGAAACUUGCCCCGA
rnacentral:rRNA from 1 species